rnacentral:rRNA from 1 species
GGGUGAGUAACACGUGGGUGAUCUGCCCUGCACUCUGGGAUAAGCCUGGGAAACUGGGUCUAAUACCGGAUAGGACCAUGCUUUAGUGUGUGUGGUGGAAAGCUUUUUCGGUGUAGGAUGAGCCCGCGGCCUAUCAGCUUGUUGGUGGGGUAAUGGCCUACCAAGGCGGUGACGGGUAGCCGGACUGAGAGGUUGGUCGGCCACAUUGGGACUGAGAUACGGCCCAG